GUCUCUGAGUGUGAUUAUUUUCCCUCUCCUUCAAAAAUAUACUUGCAAAUGUUACAUGUUAUAUCCUUUGGGGGAGUCCUGGCCAUCCAUCCAUCCAUCCAUCCAUCUGCCCAUCCACCACCUAUCUGUCAAUCUGUCCAUCUACUCUGUUUGUCCGUCCGUCCGUCCAUCCAUCCAUCCAUCCAUCCAUCCAUCCAUCCAUCCAUCCAUGCAACAAAUGUGUCUGUAGUAUCUUCUAUGUGCUAGACAUUGUGGAAAUUCAUUGAUGAAUAAAACAGGCAGUCUUUGCCCUCACAGUACUUCCAGCUUCUAGAGACUACUAACCAAUUAGACAAAUAAAUGCACCAUUAUAACUGUCGAAGUGCUACAAAGGAGGAGUUCAUGAUGAUAAAAGAUCCUCAUGAUAGAGGCAUGGGACUGAACAGAGUUCCCUGAGGAGCCAUUUGAGCUGAAGGUGAAAGGACAAGCAGAAGUUAACCAGCUAAACAAGGGAGGGAAGAUCAUUCCAAGGAGAGGGAACAUGAUGUGCAACCCCCCUUUGGCAUGAGUGAACUUGGCAAGGGUGAGACACUGCCAUCGGCCAGUGGACUGAAGCCAACAGGAUGAACAAGAAGCCACAGGAAGAUGUUCAUGAUGUGCUUGGACAGACAGGAGCUGGAGGCCGCAGUAAGAUCUCCAUGCUUUACCUUAAGAGGAAUGGGAAGCCACUGGAGGGUUUUGAGCAGGGAAGUGAUGUGAUUUUCAUUUUGCAAAGUACACUGCAAAAUGAAUCUAGAUCAGAAGGGAUAACUGCAUGUGGGAGUACAAGGAAAAAGCAGCCCCCGUGAGAGGGCUGCAGGGGAAAUGGUUUCACCAGGUUAGAUCCAUGGUUUCAAUAAGAGAGAAGGUGGUGUGAAAGGAGAAGACUGACUGAGGAGAAGUCUGCUGGUUUUGGGGGAGUGGUUGUGAGGGUUGUAGCACGCUGAGCUGGGGAAGGCAGGAGCUCUGGCCAGUGAAGGGAUGGCUGAUGGACCCUGGCUGGAGGGCUCACACACUGGAUGUUGACCAACAAAACAGACGAAAAUGAGGAGUAUGAGGAUCUGUCUCAAGGAGGCCUCUGAGGAGGGCAAACAGGCCUUCGAGGCAGGUCCAGACACUGGCACCCUGCCUGCUGUACAGUUUAAUGCACCUGAGGUUGGCAAGCUGGCGUCAGGGAGUGGCCAGAAGCCAGCUUCCAGUUUGAGGCAGUGGGUGAACCUAAAUCACACUAUUUGAUUCACUUCUGUGUUUCUGGAAACUUUCAUGUUCUGAUCAAUGCAAAUAUACCUACUGUAACAGCUGGCAAUGCCCAUGUCUCCACAAGGCCUGAGAAUAUGACCACAAUGGCUGUACAUCUUGCCCAGGCUUCUGCUGGAUGGAGAGCUUCCAGAGAUGGGGGACAGCUUAGUCAAUAUCAUCUAAGAGGAGGUUCAACUCCAGACCUAGACCAGCUAAAGAUCAAAGACAAGGGCAAGAUGCUCUCUGCUGUCAACAUCACACACUUGUCUCAACAGAAGGAAGGAAUUUAUGUAAAAUAAGAAGUGGAAAGAGAAGAACAUCCGUGGCAGUGAGAUGACAUUUCCACCUGCUUCUGAUUCCAUCUAAUAGCCAGUGGAGGUAUGGGGGAGAGAGGAGGGAGACAGGGUGGUUGGGGCUGGAAGAAAUGUUUUCAGCAGAACCAUGCCUCCGAUGGCUCUCAGAACUCAGCCUGGAAAGCAAGCCAGUUCAGAGGCACAGGGAGACUUACAGAGGUGACAUAAAUGAACAAAAAAUAAACUGUGCAUUUGGCAAGAUUGGCACUGUAAGUCUGUGCUGUGAUGAACACAGAUAUUAAACAUGCCCUGUGCCUGCCAGGUGUCACGUUUCCGAAAUCCCUUGCUCUGUCAGAAUUUGCAGAGGAAUGAGCUGGGCUCUGCUAAUUUCUGUUAUUGGUAACAGAUCACAUUUGUAGAGUACUUACGAUGCGCCAGGCACCAUGCUGAGAGGUUUCCGAUCUACUACUCCCCAUAAUCCUCACAUUGCUCUUUAGAGAGAGAGGAGAUGGAGCUCAUUUACCUGAAGCGAUGGAGAACUCUCCCCUUGACUGCACAUCUGUGCAUCUGGUUAAGGAUCAGAACACAAUGGGAAGAGUUCCAAAGCCAACUGACCACCAAAUAGUCUGAGCAUGAUGUGCUCCUGAGGCCCUUAGAGCCAAGGGUCACUCCUAAAACAGAAGAUCAGCUGUCUACCACCCAGGAAUGCGAUUCCUCCCACCUGCUCUGUGUGUGGGCUCUGGGCUACGGGACAGCACAAGCCAGAGAGGCAAGGGGUCAAGGGAGACUCAGGGCUCGCCAACAGGCAGAGCUGUGGCCAGAACUGGCUCUUUCACUGACCAGCUGUGGGACAUCCGGCAGGCUUCUUCACUCCCAGAGCCUCCAUUUCGUCAACAGAAAAUGGAAGUCAUAGUGCCUAGUUCACAGGGGCAAUGUCAGAGUCACAGGAGGUAAUUAUAGCACAUGCCCAGCACUUCACAGGAACUGGGCAGAUUCGAGCACACCUCACACAAUGAGGUCUUUCAUCUUAAGGGGACACAGACACACACACUGAGCAGAGCACCCAGGCUUCAAGUGGAGAACAUUUCCAUCUGUGGCCAAGACUCGGUUCUCUGCCCAGAUCCUCUCAGGUCCCCUCUCUUGCUUCGGCCUGCACAGCCCCCAGGUUUUUCAUGCCUUCACUUCUAGAGGCUGCCUUACUUUUAGAGGGUAAAGUGCCUUGGGGUUACUACCUCUGGAGCAGCCCCAACCAAUGACUGGCAGAUACAGGAGUGUGAGAGUCCAGCUCCCCUGCUUCCAGGUAGGACCAACUCCGAGGUCAGGAUCAGGAUGAGGCUAAGAUGCUCCCUGAGAUCUCACUCUUGCUUCCCUUCUCCUCUUUCCUAUCCUGUCCCAUUUAUUUCCAGUCUCAUUAGGAGCACCUCUCUAACUAAACUAGUUACAUGAUGCCCUCAUUUCAGGGUCUGCUUCUUGAGAAUCCAGCCCAAGAUACCAUCUGACUUCAUCUUGAAUGCCUGAUCCUCCUUGUCCACGUGGGAAAUUCCUUCAAUACUUGUUCAGGGGUCACUCCUUCUGUGAAGCCUGUCUUGACCUCUUUAGUACAGAUACUCUGGGCACAUAUGCAUACAGUGCUGCAGGGGUGUGUGUGUGUGUGCACGUGUGUGUAUAUGUGUGUUGACCUGUUUGGGGCUGUGGAAGUCUUGAGGGUAAAAAUUUCAUUUUGUUCAUAGUUAUUGGGGGUAUAACUAGUCUCUAGUGAAAGCCUCUGAUGAACUGGGUAACCUUCUGAAAAUACAACUUUCCAUAGCAGUGGCUUCUUUAGAGCCCAGGGGUCCAGUGAGCAGGUAUGGAAGCCAACAGGAGGGAGUUCCAGGAACCUAACCCCUGAGUCAACCAAAGCACAUUUCAAUUUAGAAAUGGGUUCCGUCGCCUAAAAAUAAUGAUGAUGAUGAUAAUCAUGAUGAUGACUGGAAACUCUGAUUUAGAGUAAACUGACCAGGACUUGAAGAUUUGGGGAGAAAAAGGCUCAUUUUUCAUGUGGUUCAUCUCCUUGGCCAUCUCUUUAUGCAAUGACAGCCACUAUCAACAGAGUGCCCCUGUGGAUGUGCCAUGCAAGAGGCUUUGCAUCGAGAUGACACUGGAUCCCUCCCAGUCCUCCAGGAUAAGCAUUCCUUACAUGUGACUGGCACCGGUCACUGCACCUUCAAUGAAAUAGACAUACUGUCCACUUGCUCUGUCUCCUCUGCCACCCUGACCUCUUGCCAGGUGAUAGUCACAGCCUUCUAACCAGCUCCUUAUUUCCACCCUUGCCCCUACAACCCACCAUCCACACAAUGGCCUAUCAUUUUUAAAGAACAUACAUUGGAUCAUGCCAUUCCCUGCUCCAAACAGAAGCUUUCAAUGGCUUUCCUUUGUAACGGCCCAGUGGUGUUACCUGGGGUGGACCCUGCCUAGGUCCACCGUGGUUCUCUUCACUGCUCACCAGCUUCCUGCUACCUGGUUUUUCUGUGCCUUGAAGAGGCCAAGCCUUUUGGGGCUCCAUACAACUCUCCUCCCCAACUGGGACACUCUUCCUCACGCUUGGCAAGUGAAUUCCUUCUCAUCUGCCAGUCUCAGCUUCCUUGGAGAAACAUUCCUCGACCCCCAAUCUAAAGCAGGCUACUCCCUGGGGACUAACCUCAACUAGAAAUAGAAUCCUUGUUUGCAUCCUUGAUGACUGCUGCCUCCUCGGCCAACUCCGGGAGGGCAGGCCAGGGAUCAUGUCUCUUUUGUUACCCAUCGAGUCUCCAGUGCCUAGCACAGUGCCUGGCUCUUAGCAAGCCCUCAAUAAAUAUUCAUCAUACAAAUAAGCAAAUGAUGACCAUUAGAAAAUAUGACUCAUAUGUUUGGCAAACUAUACCGAGAGUUUUCUCAAUUCUUGAUGGUCAGAGCUUAAUUCUCACAUGUGGGGAGGUGGGUGAGGAGAAAGAACUGCCCACCACCCACUACUGAUGGCAUACGUUGGGGUGGUGUUGACCCUUCAACAACCCUCCUCUUCAUCCUACAUCUCAGCAUAAUGUGAGGUUCAAGGGGGAAAGAUUAUAUUGUCAUAUGGAACAUGAUUGUAACUAUAAUUGGUCACAUAAAGGAUAAAUAACAAGUCAUAGUCUAUUUCAUGACAGUAAAAGCGGUAAACUUUGCCUCUAGAAGCAGUCCACCAAAUGAAUGGUAAGUGGCAUUUUUGUGGAGUAAUCUUGCUGGCCAUGUCGACAGAUGCCUCUCUGGUUGAGAUACCAGGCUUGUAUCUUUGGUGGGGAGUGUUAGGGAGUGGUGUGGAAGGGCAAGUCACAUGUGGGCAGGACUGCAGAGGUGCUGUGCCACCCUAAGCAGCAGCUGUGCACCAGCCCUUCUUCUAGGAGCUUCAUGCUGGUAUCACUGAACCUUCUCAGCAACUCCAGGAAGUAGAAAUGUUUCUGCCUGACUCCAGAGCACAAGGUGAAGAGAAGCUAGGGACAGCUGUAUCCCGUGUCCAGGACACCAUGCCAGACUUCCUGCGCCUGGACAUAGCCUAUAGCCCUCAGGUUUCCGGAUCCCUCUGAUUUUCGGUCUGGUUUUCCAGUCUUCCAGUGCAAUUCUGAGCACUUCCACUGGAUAGCCUUCAAAUCCAUUCUGAUUCUGCUGAAAUGCGACAGAGCCAGUCUUUCCGGCUGGCACUGAAGACCUCAGUCUGGUGCACACUCCACAUGGCAGCCGCUUACGGACUCAUCUGUGGACUUACAAGUUUAUCAUGUAUUCCGCUAUUUGAAAAUAUCAAGAAAAUAGCAAGAAUUCUUGCACGCUUCUCAUACAGGAGUUUGAGAAGACGGGAGUUUGAGGGGAUGUCUUGCAGUAACAGAGCUGAUUCCAUAAAGUCUUGAUUUGCCUUGGGGGAGUUCCUGGCCUCAGAUGAUGGGGUCCUUUCCUCUUCUGUGGACCUCAGUAACCAAUUCAGGGAUCAGAGAAGGCGCCUUCACCCCUCAACAUCAUCUGAUAUCUUUUUAUGGCUGCAUGAAGACAGAUGAACAUCUCCAGAGCCUACUCAUUUUCUUUCUGAAGGCCUUCUCAGAGAUAAAUUCCUUUCCUUUCUGCAGGCCAGAUUUCCAGGGCAUGAUUAACUACAUUUCUCCUGUUCUUCAUCUUUAGAGUUUCUGUGGGCCUCAAACAACACUUUCUGAAUUUUCCCCUCUCACCCCCUACUCACUCCCUGAAAGGUAAAUAGAGUUAGGUUGAAGAUGUAAUUCAACAUGUACUUGGCACCUCGCAACCAGCACUUUGAUUCUGCAGUCACGCAGGUCUCACAUGGCAUUCUCAGGUUUGGGUCUGUACAGAGCCAGGUCCGGCUGUGGCUGAUCCUAGACAUAUGCUAACACGCUCCCUGAGAAAGGCCCUGGAGCCAGUCAUUAGUGAACCAGGCAAAGCCUCAAGAAUCUAUGCCCUAUUUCUAGUUAUUCAUCCAAAUGCUGUGUAAAGCACAACUUGAACCAUGGCAUAAAAAUAAAAGAUAUAAAGAAUCAUAGGACACGUGUGCAUGCUCUGGGCGCCCCAGAGGUUUCCUGCGCCAGUGUUCCCAUGUGUGGCAUAAACCUGAGGGCCUUAUGUUAUGAGGAGAUGGGGGCUGCGGUGACUCACAGGAUCAGGCAUUUCAACCUAGAGAACCCAGCGGAAUGGGAAAUCAGCAAGAUGAAGCCCUCUCCUGCUCCCAGGCAGUCCUCUACCAACAGCCUCCUGUGACAGCAGAUUAGUCUCUACCCAGAAGGGAGAGACUGCUCAUAAAGGUGACAAGCUGCUGUCAUUUCUAAAAGACGUGUAUGUUGAUUCCAAAGAUCCCGUGUCUUCCGCGCAGGUAAAAGCUUCUGAAACAACACGUCAAGAGCCAAAGGAAUUCAGAUUGCUGAAAGGCCAUCACUUUGGUAUGAUAAAUAUUAAGAGCAUUCCCAAAGGCAAAAUUUCCAUUGUAGAAGCAUUGACACUUCUCAAUAAUCAUAAAUUUUUUCCAGAAACAUGGACUGCUGAGAAAAUAGCACAAGAAUACCAUUUAGAACAGAAAGAUGUGAAUUUCCUUCUUAAAUAUUUUGUUACUUUUGAAGUCAAAAUCUUCCUUCCUGAAGACAAGCAAGCAAUACAAUCAAAUGAAGAAAAUCACAAAAAUUUCCUAUGUGUACUCCUCAUCCCUCAUCCUGUAUAUUUUCUCAUUUUUGGCAUAUUAAAUUAUGUUAAUUACCAAGUGUUUAAUGCUCUCAUUGUGAGAGCAUAC